rnacentral:rRNA from 1 species
GUGUCAGCAGCCGCGGUAAUACAGAGGGUGCAAGCGUUAAUCGGAUUUACUGGGCGUAAAGCGUGUGUAGGUUGUUUGACAAGUCGGUUGUGAAAUCCCCGGGCUCAACCUGGGAACUGCUUCCGAGACUGUCCGACUAGAGUACGGUAGAGGGCGGUGGAAUUUCCGGUGUAGCGGUGAAAUGCGUAGAUAUCGGAAGGAACACCAAUGGCGAAGGCAGCCGCCUGGGCCUGUACUGACACUGAGACACGAAAGCGUGGGGAUCAAACAGGAUUAGAUACCCUGGUAGUCC